UGUGCCUUCUCAUCUUUUAAACACGUUAACACCACGUAUUCCCUGAACUCAUCCUUAUCAACAAGCAUUAACUGUGAAAAAGGCGCCGGGAUACAGAGAGAUGGGAGGCUGCUUCUUGCCCUACAGAAGUUAAUUAUCUACUUGGGACGAGGACCCACGUGUACAGAUAUUUCGGAGGAUAGGGCUGAAGGAUGCCUCAGUGGAACCAUCGGUAGAUACCUAAAAAAUUUUAAGGAGGGGUCAUGGUCUGCUGCCCUGGUUGGUGACUAGCAAAGCCGAAUUCAGAUGAGGAGACUAGAAUCCAUUCCAGGUGUGAGCCAAAGGUGGAAACCACUACUGGGGAGAGAAGUAAAUGUCGAGUAGGAAGGAUGGUUCAGCAGAGAAAACGUGAGACAAAGUUGCAAACGGCAUGAAAGAAGCAGAAGGGCAAGAAGAGAAAUUGGGGACUUCUGCAGUUUUUUCAACAAGCAUUUACUGAAUGGCAGGCACUGUGCUGAGCUUUGGCUGAGAGACGGACCCAGCUGAAAGCUGAUGCAUCUCCGUCAGGACAUGGACUCACACGGGCAGCUCAGAAAGGACAAAUGAGGCAGCAUGCGAAGGACUACCCUCAGGUUUGCCUCUGCUCCGUCUGUAUGCCUAUCAAACGUAGGAUCUCAGCCAACCACUCCUCACUUAGCAUGUGUAAAAACCACAUUCAUACCAUUCUGAUGAUUUUACUCAGACCCUCAUAUCUUGGGACAAGAGUUUUUUUCCACAACAAGAUCUAGAAACAUAUAUGUCUCUAACCUGCAAAGACCCAUGAUAGCAACCAAGUGGAAUUAAGUGCACGGUAAGGACCAGAGAUAAAAGAUAAAAUGGCCCAGUAGCUGAGCCAGCCUUCAUAUAUGUAUCCUGAGGAAGAACCCUGAGCCCCAUCUUGUGGAUCUUUAAUAUCCAAGAGGUGUGUGACAUAUGGAUACAAGUGUGUAACAGGCAUGCUGCUCAUGGUAUAUUGUACAUAUGGUGAUCCUGGGACCCAGCAGCUCAGGCAAGUGUGCAGGUACACUCACAUCUCUGCCCUCAGGGAAGGACACUGAAGGACGGACACAGUACACAGGGAGGAGGGGAGACAGAAUAAUGUCCAGUGAGGAACAGAAGGCUAAGGGAGUCAUCUUGCAUAACGUAACAGUAAUGCAAAAUGCUUGGGACAUUCUGCUUAAUCAGAUUUUUCUAACAAAGUAGAAAAUACUAUUGGGUUAAACCCUUGUUACAUAAAUUCCUCUAAAAAUGCUUUCAUGCACUGUUCCUAUUUCACUAAGUCCAACACUGGAAUAUGAUUGGGUUAUUCUUUUAUUCAACAAACAUUUCUUGCAUACUUAUGAUGUGCCAGACAGCUUUUUGGGUGCUAGAGAAGUAUCAGUGAACCAAGCAGAUAAGAUACCUGGUCAAGGACACUUACAUGCUAGUGGAAAAGACAGGCAAUGAAGAGGCAAUAAAGAAGAGCAUUUCGGAUUGUGAAACCAGCUUCAGAGCAAGGUAUCUGAGAACAAGCUGUCUGGUGAGGUGUGGCAGAGAGAAGAAUGUUUGAAGGGUGGUCAGGGAAGACCACUCAGAGGAAGGGACACAUGAGCUAAGACCUGAAUGAUGUGAAGGAGCCAGACAUGGGACUGGGGGUAGACAAUUUCAGGCAAAAGUAAUAGCUAGCGCAAAGGCCCUGAGCUAGGAAGGAAAAGAAAGAAGGCUGGUUUCACCAACUGGGACCGAGUAUGGAGAUGACGUGAGAGAUGAAGCUGGAUGGGUGCUCAGGGUAACAAGUCUGGAUUUGAUUAUAUUACAUUGUUAUAUUUAACAUGGUUUUAUUUUCCUCUUAUAAGCUGCAGGAAGUUACCUCUUUGCAUUUUGCCUUUUGACAUCUCUUUUUUAUUGAAGUAUAGUUGAUUUAUAAUAGUGUUAAUUUCAGGUAUACAGCAAAGUGAUUUGGUUACGCACACACAUAUAUAUAGA